UACGUAGGGUGCAAGCGUUGUCCGGAAUUAUUGGGCGUAAAGAGCUCGUAGGCGGUCUGUCGCGUCGGCUGUGAAAACUCGGGGCUCAACUCCGAGCUUGCAGUCGAUACGGGCAGGCUAGAGUUCGGCAGGGGAGACUGGAAUUCCGUGGUGUAGCGGUGAAAUGCGCAGAUAUCAGGAGGAACACCGAUGGCGAAGGCAGGUCUCUGGGCCGAUACUGACGCUGAGGAGCGAAGACGUGGGGAGCGAACAGG
rnacentral:rRNA from 1 species